rnacentral:rRNA from 1 species
ACGAGGGGCCCGAGCGUUAAUCGGAAUUACUGGGCGUAAAGCGUGCGCAGGCGGUUGUGCAAGACAGAUGUGAAAUCCCCGGGCUCAACCUGGGAACUGCACUUGUGACUGCAAGGCUAGAGUGUGUCAGAGGGAGGUGGAAUUCCGCGUGUAGCAGUGAAAUGCGUAGAGAUGCGGAGGAACACCGAUGGCGAAGGCAGCCUCCUGGGAUAACACUGACGCUCAGGCACGAAAGCGUGGGGAGCAAACAG